AUUUAUGUAAUAUAAUUAUUAUAUUUGACUUCCAAUCAAAAAAUCUAAACUUUAGCAUAAAUA
rnacentral:tRNA from 1 species